CUGGAAGCUGUAAACCACACAAAGCCAGGCUUUGUCACCACCCGAGUGUGCAGAAGGACACUAGCCCUGAGCGUGUGCCACCUCAUGCCCCUAUUACAUGCUCUUGCAUUUUUCGCACUCUGCUUUUUGGGGUCCAUCCCUGGAUGGGGGACAGAAAAGCCAGACAAAAGCCCGGCUGCCCGGGGCUCGCUGCCCAUACACAGAGCUGAGCUGCUGCGCUCCUGCAGGCGUGCGUGUUUGGAGUAUGUGGAUUGCACUCUCUGCUUUAGCAGGUAAAAGAAGCCUGAAGAUACCCAGUCUUGGCUGUGUAAGCCCCGCAUUCAUCAGGGGCUCAGGAGCUGCUAUUUUCCUGCCUCCCUGUGGCUUCCGUUUCUGAGGUUUCGAAAUGCAGCUGCUGUUGCUCCUCAGUCCAGCAGGAAGGAGCCGGGAGCCAGAGGAAGACGGCGCUCUAGCCAUAUCCAGAAUCCUGAGAGAGUCUUCCUGGAGGUUCCAUAAAGCACAUCUGUUUAAAUUUCAUUGUCCAGAACUCAGCCAUGUGCUGGGAGGAUGGGAUUAUAGUCAUUUAUUUGGGAUCAAUGCUCCUCUGAAUAAAACUGGGCUUUACUAUCCAUGGAAGUAGAUGAAGAAUACUGGGUAGACAAUCAGAAAAUGUAUUGCUUUAUAUAACUGAAUAUUUCAAGGGUUAUCAAUGGCUUCAGGUAGAGUUUGCUCAAGCUAAUGACAUCAUUCAGACUUUUGUCCUGCUUCUCAGAGAUUCUCCGGCUCAUUCUUGUGCGUUGUUUCUAACCACAGACGGGGUUUCCCUAGGAUGACGGAGGCAGCCUCAGCAUUCCAUGAUGUUGUGUCCUUAGACAUCACCAAAGAGAGAGAGAUUCUUUCUGAGAUCUCUCACAGCACAGAAAAAAUAUCUUCUUCCUGGACCCCUAGCAAAAGAUAACUUCUCCAUGGUUAAACAGGCCACCUUGGACUAAAUACUUCUAAAAGGAGUGGCAUGGAUACCUUACAUUCAGACUGAGAUUUUCAAAUCUCUGCAUCAGAGGAUCCACGAGUUGGGGGAGUAACAGAGGUGAUAUUGAACCUUGCACCUGGGGCUGGGGUUCCUGCCUCAGCGUUCCUGGCAGACGGCACCCAGCCUGGGCUUUGGUACCUACAGUGCUAGAUGGCUCCAGAUGUUGAGCCAGUCCUGCACCAAGCUGAAUCGUUUCUCUGUAAUAUCCUGGCCCCUGUUCUGCUUUCUCAUGUGUCAAAAAUCCAGCCUGAUUAUAUUGUUUUCCUCUGCAUAAUAGCUCUCAAAAUAGUAGGAGAGAGUUAAGUGCCCCAUACAUGUAAUAUCGUCAACCAUUAAUGUUUUUACAUGGUUGGGGUUACUGCUAUGAUGUUUAUUUCAUGGUUGUUUACAACAAGGGCUUUGAACAAAAAAAACAUCUUAGCUCCGGCCCUUUUUAGCCACGUCAUGUCAUCUCAAAACUAAGUUCCUGCACCUUUCUUAGCACAGUGACUAGCAAAUACUAGGCACUCAAUAAAUGCUAUGUAAUAAUAAAACAAUGCCAACAACAAUGAUAAUGCCAUGAGCUCCAUUUGCCCUUUCUGUGGGCCUUGGUAACUUUUGCACUGUGUCAAAAUUAUGGCCAGCCCCGUCCCCUUGAGCUGGCUCUGGAUGCUUUGAGAAGAGGAAUCCGCCUUAUUUAGUACGGUACCACAGCUGAGCGCAGGGCCUGCUACAUAGAAAACUAGCUGAACAUCUGUGGGACGGAUAUUUGCCAACCUCUUGCUGUCCAGGUUGUUCUAGUUAAACAGGGAAUCAUAGUUCCACCCAGCACUGCCCAUCCUAUUAUAAGUGCCCCUUAUUA